rnacentral:rRNA from 1 species
AUACGGAGGGGGUUAGCGUUGUUCGGAAUUACUGGGCGUAAAGCGCACGUAGGCGGACUGGAAAGUUGGGGGUGAAAUCCCGGGGCUCAACCCCGGAACUGCCUCCAAAACUUCCAAUCUAGAGAUCGAGAGAGGUGAGUGGAAUUCCAAGUGUAGAGGUGAAAUUCGUAGAUAUUUGGAGGAACACCAGUGGCGAAGGCGGCUCACUGGCUCGAUACUGACGCUGAGGUGCGAAAGCGUGGGGAGCAAACAGGAUUAGAUACCCGUGUAGUCC